CAAUGGAAGAAACAACCCACAACAGGGCAGAACAGUCCUGCAGCUGUCUCUGCUUUGUUUCCUUCCAGCAGUUACACUUGAGGAAGGACAUGACUUAGCAUUCAGGAGAGCUGCAACAACGGUUUCUAGCCUCUGGCAAGGAAAACAGAUGAGCAAAUAUCUGUCUUGGAAGCUAAAUGCAUCGUCCCAGCGCAGGCCUCUCCAGCUUUCCAGAUACCAUGAGUCCUCAGCCUGCUCUUAAAUUGCUACAACAACAUUAUGGAUCCUUCAUACUCAGAUUUUUGUGAGCAUCUACUCUGACAUCCUUCAUAACAUGUAACAGUAAAUAGUGAGCCUGCAACUUUGCACUUCACUAAACAUUCCUCAGUGCAACGUUGGUUGGAGGGUGAUGACUGCUCCAAGAAGUGGAUGCCCAAGUUAUGUGCUGAUGGAUGCACAUAUGAGUGCAAUGAUACCCCUACAUUCAAGGCUUGAGGGCACUUUUAUAUGUUGACUAUUGAGACACUUCUUGUGAAAUUCAAGCCGUUCAAUGUCAGGCUUUGAUUAGAUAUAUAUGUAUUUUCUUCAGUAGUAGAUCCAUCUAGUUUUUUU
ensembl:lncRNA